AUUGAACGCUGGCGGAAUGCUUUACACAUGCAAGUCGAGCGGCAGCGCGGGGGGCAACCCUGGCGGCGAGCGGCGAACGGGUGAGUAACAUAUCGGAACGUACCCCGUCGUGGGGGAUAACACAGCGAAAGCUGUGCUAAUACCGCAUACGACCUGAGGGUGAAAGCGGGGGAUCGCAAGACCUCGCGCGAUGGGAGCGGCCGAUAUCGGAUUAGCUUGUUGGUGAGGUAAAGGCUCACCAAGGCGACGAUCCGUAGCUGGUCUGAGAGGACGACCAGCCACACUGGAACUGAGACACGGUCCAGACUCCUACGGGAGGCAGCAGUGGGGAAUUUUGGACAAUGGGGGCAACCCUGAUCCAGCCAUUCCGCGUGAGUGAAGAAGGCCUU
rnacentral:rRNA from 1 species